rnacentral:miRNA from 1 species
AUAUAUUUCAUGUACCUACAUACAUGAGGAAUAUGUAUGUGAGUGUGUAUGUGUGGGUGUGUGGUUGCACAUGUAUACACACAUACAUGUACACAUAUACACAAUUU